UACGUAGGGUGCGAGCGUUGCCCGGAUUUAUUGGGCGUAAAGCGUGCGCAGGCGGUUCGUUGUGUCUGAUGUGAAAGCCCCGGGCUCAACUUGGGAACGGCAUUGGAAACUGGCGAGCUAGAGUGCGGUAGGGGGAGAUCGGAAUUCCUGGUGUAGCGGUGAAAUGCGCAGAUAUCAGGAGGAACACCGGUGGCGAAGGCGGGUCUCUGGGCAAUAACUGACGCUGAGGAGCGAAAGCGUGGGGAGCGAACAGG
rnacentral:rRNA from 1 species